UUUUUUUUUUGAUUUAUUUUGUUUUGUAUAAUAGGUUUUAGUUUUAUUUAUUUUAUUAGAAUUGAUUUAAAUGUAUUUUUUUUAAUGGUUGAGUAAUAUUUUAUUGUGUAUAUGUAUUAUAGUUUUUUUAUUUAUUUAUUUGUUGAUGGAUAUUUAGGUUGUUUUUAUGUUUUGGUUAUUAUAAAUAGUGUUGUAAUGAAUAUUGGGGUAUA
rnacentral:misc_RNA from 1 species